GACGAACGCUGGCGGCGUGCUUAACACAUGCAAGUCGAGCGGUAAGGCCUCUUCGGGGGUACACGAGCGGCGAACGGGUGAGUAACACGUGUGUGACCUGCCCUCAGCUCUGGGAUAAGCCUGGGAAACUGGGUCUAAUACCUGAUAUGACCACAUGUUGCAUGGUGUUUGGUGGAAAGUUUUUUCUGCUGGGGAUGGGCUUGCGGCCUAUCAGCUUGUUGGUGGGGUGAUGGCCUACCAAGGCGACGACGGGUAGCCGGCCUGAGAGGGCGACCGGCCACACUGGGACUGAGACACGGCCCGGACUAGUACGGGAGGCAGCAGUGGGGAAGAUUGCGCGAUGGGCGGAAGCCUGGUGCAGCGACGCCGCGUGGGGGAUGAUGGCCUUCGGUUUGUAGACCACUGUCGGCCGGAACGAAGCGUAAGUGACGGUACCGGUAGAAGAAGCACCGGCCAACUCCGUG
rnacentral:rRNA from 1 species